GUGACUGUUCAUUUGUAGUAUUUCAAGUGAAGAAAGAACAUAAAAAUUUUAAUCAUUGGAAUUGAUACUUUUUGUGGGGGUGGGAAUCUGUGUCCUUUGUAGUCCAGUUCCUUUCCAUCAGUCCUAACCCCAUUUCAUCUUGACCCGGCCCAUCCCAUUCCUGAUUUGUAAUCCAGGUAUGAAUGUAUAAAUAAUAUAUAUCAUAUUUGAAUUGAAAUAUUAAUAUAGAGCAUGGCCACAAAAUAAGCAGAGAGAUGUGUAUAGAUGAAUUUAAUAUGAAAUAUGUUAGUAUGAAAAUAUGUCUUGUGCAUGCAAUUAUCACAUACAAUAGUAACAUGUACUUUAUAAGAAUUGAUAAAAGUUCACUUCUUUGUAAGUAAAUAUUUGUAUAUGAUAGAAAAGGUUGAAAACAUGAGUUUUUGGGAGACGUUUAUAAUAUUGUUACGGAUUCAGUCUAUUAUCUUAAAUGGAAUAAUUAUUGAAUCUGGAACCACUCUCGUGUAGAGCAUGGGAACAAAAUAAGCAGAGUAUGGAUUUGUAUAAAUGAAUUCAAGAUGAAAUAAUUGUUGAUGUGAAAAUAUGUCUUAUUAAUGCAAUGAACAUUAAAUUUUGCUAUAGUUAAACUUGAUUAGAAGUGGUAAAAAUACAUUUCUUUGUAAAAAUGUAUUAUGAUAGAAAAGGUCAAUAGACUGCCAAUGACAACUGACUAUAUCCUAAUCAUUUGUAUAGUCAGCGAUUGAUUGGACUUUAUUAUUAUAAAGCAGAAAAGGAAUAAAAAAGUGCAAUAGAAAGGAUUUAAUAAGAAGAAAGGAAAGAUCAUCUAAAUGUGUAUGUAAAUAUGUAUAUGAUUGAAAGGGUUGAAAACAUGAGUUUUUGGAGAUGUUUGUAAUAUUGUUGUGGAUUCAGUCUAUAAUCUUAUAUGGAAUAAUUAUUGAAUCGUAAAUUCCAUCCUGACCCUGCCCUUAAUUGGUUGUCCUGAUAUGUUUAUACAAAUAAUAUAUAAUAUAACAUACCUGAAUGAAAAUAUUAAUGUAGAACAUAGUUGCAUUCAAAGCAGAGAAAAGAUGUGAAUAGAUAAAUUUGAUAUGAAAAUUUUUUAUGUGAAAAUAUGUCGUAUUCCUGUAGUUGACACUUUUUGACACUUUCUAUAGUCACACUUUAUAAGAAGUGGUAAAUGUAUACUUCUGUAUGAUGUAUAUGUUAUGAUGUUUAUAUAGUGUUUAGAGUGAAGAAAGAACAUAAAAUGUUAAUAAUUGAAAUUGAUACUUUGUAGGGGAUGGGAACAUUGUCCUGUCUAUUCCAGUUCCUUCUCAUUCAUGCCUAUCCUAAGCCAACCUGACCCGGUCCAUCCCAUUUCUGAUGGGUAAUUCGUAUAUGAUAGUACAAAUAAUAUAUAAUAAAGCAUAUUAGAGUUAAAAUAUUUAUGUUGAGCAUGGCCCAAAUAAAGGAAGAGAAAAUGUGUCUAUAAAUAGAAUAAUUAUGAAUAUAUUUUAUUUGUGCAAUUGACACUUACUAUGGUAACACUUUAUAAGAAGUGGUAAAAGUACACUUCUUUAUUAGUAGAUAUAUAUUUGAUAGAAAAGGUUAAAAACAUUUGUUUUUUGAGCUGUUCAUAAUAUUAUUAUGGAAACAGUCAAUUACCUAAAGACAAAUGAUUAUUAAAUCUGGAACCACACUUGUAUGGGCAAAUGAAGGUUCAUGUACAGUUGUUGAAAGUUACAUUCUUGCUGUAUUUUGAGAAGUAUGGAAAAAGAAUUGUUUGAUAGGUAAAAUACUUUUCUGUGUUUCAGUCAUAUUUGCUGAAUUGCUGACCAAUGUUGAAGCUGUGGAUUUUACCUGGGAAAGAAUGAAGAAUGUUUCAAGAAGAGACUGUAUUCAUUUGUAGUGUUUGAAUUGACCAAAGAAUAACAAAUUGGUACUUACUGGAAUUUUUUUUUUUGUGUGUGGAGUUGGGAAUCUCUGUCCUGUCUAUUUCUGUUCCUCCCCAUUCUGUCUUGUCCCAUCCUGACCAGGCCCAUCCAUUCCUGAUUGAUAAUCUAGAAGUGUUUGUAAAUAGAACAUGUUGCAUAUUUGAAUGGAUUUGUAUACUGAAGUAGUGUUUUAGAAUAUGGCCACAAAAUAUGCUAAAAAAAAGACAGUGUAUAAAAAAUAUUAAUACCAAAUAUGUUAGUGUGAAAAUGUGUUUUAUUUAUGCUAUGGAUACUUAGUUUAAUUUAUUAUUGUAUAAAACUAAAGUGUGUUUCAGGAAAGUAUAAUUUAUAAAUCUAUACGAGUUUUGUCAAACAUAUGGAUACAGUUAUACAGUAUUAUACAGGAUAUAAGAUAGAAUAAAUAUUAACCCUGGAAUGACAUUUGUAGCAAUAUGUAAGGGAAAACCAUUGGGUAUAUAAACAUUGAAUGUAACAACAUGACAAGUCUCUUACAUUAUACUGUUUCUAGAGACAGAAGACAAAAAAUGUUGAAUGUGACAGCUGGAAAUGUUAGUAGUAGGCUACAAGACUGAUUUCCAAACCAAAUGAUAGAAACGCCCACAGAUGAAGAAUCAGAAGGCUUAAUCAACGGAUGGUGAAAAUUGUCACAUGCUGUAAGAGAAAUGCCAGCUGGAAAGAUAUAAUCCCUCACACCACCAGUACCAACUCAGGCAGAUGGUAUCUCAACAAAUAGGAGAUUCACGGUGAUACAUUGUAGAGCAGAUAUAGCUGGUCAAAUCAUACAAGAAUGUUGAGACAUGGAUAGUUGGCUUCCUGCGAAGAAGAAUGUAUAAUGUAACACUUGCAGUCAGAGAGUUCGGAGAAGGGGAUCAACUCAAAGAACAUUAGAGGGGUCUGAUGACAAUAUUGAUAUAGGUUAAGAAGG
rnacentral:lncRNA from 1 species